UGGGGGUUUAGAGCUUUCACACAGACUGGGCGCAUAGUAACGUUGAUGGACAAGGGAUAUGCCAAACGAACACUGGAGGUUCCGUACCCUUGCUGUGUCCAUUAUUAGUGUGAGCUGCAUCCACACGGAGGUAGGACUGCUUUACGCAAGGGUUCGGGAGUUUAUGUCAACAGAGGCGAGUACAGGGGGAACUCAAGAUUAAGCUGAAGGAGGCAAAGGAGGACUACAGAAGGAAGAUGGAACAGAAGCU